UACAGAGGUGGCAAGCGUUGUUCGGAAUUACUGGGCGUAAAGGGCGCGUAGGCGGCCUACUAAGUCAGACGUGAAAUCCCCCGGCUUAACCUGGGAACUGCGUCUGAUACUGGAUGGCUUGAAUUCGGGAGAGGGAUGCAGAAUUCCAGGUGUAGCGGUGAAAUGCGUAGAUAUCUGGAGGAAUACCGGUGGCGAAGGCGGCAUCCUGGACCGAGAUUGACACUGAUGAGCGAAAGCUAGGGGAGCAAACGGG
rnacentral:rRNA from 1 species